GACGAACGCUGGCGGCGUGCCUAAUACAUGCAAGUAGAACGCUGAAGAGAGGAGCUUGCUCUUCUUGGAUGAGUUGCGAACGGGUGAGUAACGCGUAGGUAACCUGCCUGGUAGCGGGGGAUAACUAUUGGAAACGAUAGCUAAUACCGCAUAACAACAGUUGUUGCAUGACAGCUGUUUAAAAGAUGCAAUUGCAUCACUACCAGAUGGACCUGCGUUGUAUUAGCUAGUUGGUGAGGUAACGGCUCACCAAGGCGACGAUACAUAGCCGACCUGAGAGGGUGAUCAGCCACACUGGGACUGAGACACGGCCCAGACUCCUACGGGAGGCAGCAGUAGGGAAUCUUCGGCAAUGGGGGGAACCCUGACCGAGCAACGCCGCGUGAGUGAAGAAGGUUUUCGGAUCGUAAAGCUCUGUUGUAAGAGAAGAACGGGUGUGAGAGUGGAAAGUUCACACUGUGACGGUAUCUUACCAGAAAGGGACGGCUAACUACGUG
rnacentral:rRNA from 1 species